rnacentral:rRNA from 1 species
GACGAACGCUGGCGGCGUGCUUAACACAUGCAAGUCGAACGGAAAGGCCCUGCUUUUGUGGGGUGCUCGAGUGGCGAACGGGUGAGUAACACGUGAGUAACCUGCCCUUGACUUUGGGAUAACUUCAGGAAACUGGGGCUAAUACCGGAUAGGAGCUCCUGCUGCAUGGUGGGGGUUGGAAAGUUUCGGCGGUUGGGGAUGGACUCGCGGCUUAUCAGCUUGUUGGUGGGGUAGUGGCUUACCAAGGCUUUGACGGGUAGCCGGCCUGAGAGGGUGACCGGCCACAUUGGGACUGGGAUACGGCCCAGACUCCUACGGGAGGCAGCAGUGGGGAAUAUUGCACAAUGGGCGGAAGCCUGAUGCAGCAACGCCGCGUGCGGGAUGACGGCCUUCGGGUUGUAAACCGCUUUCGCCUGCGACGAAGCGUGAGUGACGGUAAUGGGUAAAGAAGCACCGGCUAACUACGU